rnacentral:rRNA from 1 species
AACGUAGGGGACAAGCGUUAUCCGGAUUUACUGGGCGUAAGCGCCCGUAGGCGGCCUGACAAGGUGGGCGUGAAAGCUCCUGGCUUAACUGGGAGAGGCCGUUCAAAACUGUCAAGCUAGAGUCUGGAAGAGGAGAGCGGAAUUCCCGGUGUAGUGGUGGAAUGCGUAGAGAUCGGGAGGAACACCAGUGGCGAAAGCGGCUCUCUGGUCCAAAACUGACGCUGAGGGGCGAAAGCGUGGGGAGCGAACGGG